CAGUCUGCACCUUUUAUAGCUUCAUUGACUUUGUCGCUGAUGAUGGGGUAACCCGAAACUAGUACGACUUUAUAUAAAUAAACGCAAGUUAGAAGUU